UGGUCUGACAGGAAAAAUCCCCCAAACCC
rnacentral:piRNA from 1 species